UAUCAUGAGACACAGCGUCCGGCUUUUUCAUGUCACCAAAGCAUCUUGAAGAUGGUCUCCAGAGGUACCUAAUAGGAGGUUUCCAGCAGAGCAGGGGAUGGAGUGGGCUGAGCUGUGGCUGCCAUUUUUAACAGGACCUGCUUCUGAUCUAUAAAAUCAGCAUCUCCAGAGGAAGAACCUGAGCAGCUGCAUUCUUAAUAUGUAACCCUCACUGCCUCCUCACGCCUCUGAAGUGAUA